AUAAAUUAUUUUCAUGUAACAUUUUCAGAUGGAAAUAUUUCUAAGAUGCGGUGCACAUUUCCCUUUUUUUCUUACUUGGAGAUUGUGGAACACCAUUAACCUUUCCGUAAUGGCUCAGGGAUGCUGCAGUGAACCUCGGAUGCCGAGCAGGAGGUAAUGCAGCCCUCGGGGCUCGAGGGGUGUGCAGGGGCGUCUGCCCUCCGCUAAUGGGCUCGGCUCAGGAGCUUCCUCCGGGCCCAUGGCCUAGUUCCUGCAGAUUUGGGGGUUCCUCGCACACGAGCCGGUUUCCAGUUUCUGCUCCCCUUGGUGUGGCCACGCGGGGGGUCCUUCUCCCGCUUCCUAAAUCACUCUUCUUAGCGACCCUGGGCCAGAGACCAGCACCCCGGGCUUAAGAAGAGGAGGUGCGAGGAAGGCGGUCAUCGGCUUUGAGUGGCCCUCCACAGGCCUGAGCUGAGUGCACAAGCUCCAGGCUCUUCUGGCCGCGCUCAGGCCGCUCCAAGCCAUUCUUGCACUUGGCCUUGAUUCAUGCGUCAGAGGCGGCAGGGGGCGGGGGACAGUAACCAGGGUUUAUCAGGGAGGCUCACGAAGUUCCCGGGAGCGCUGAGUGCGCCCCGGGUCUCCCGCAGGCACCACAGUUCCUGCACCUUCUCGAAAGAACUGCACUUCUUUGGCCUCUCUCUCUCUCUCUAUUUUAUUUUAUUAUUUUUUUUACAAGCAAAGCAUGGUGGCUAUUUCCUCCCCAUUUGGAAGAGCGGGAAACUGAAAGCUGGAGAGAGACCUGGAGGCCGGUUGGGACCCCCCAGUAGGGGGGAUCCGGCUGGGCUGGACCUGCCAGCCUCCUAUCAGGAGCUGAUCUCGGAGCCAGGGGACCAAGGGGCUGGGGGGUGGCGGAGUCCCCGGAGGUCACCCACCCUCGCUCCCAUGCCCAGAGAGGGUGGAGAACAGACAGAAGAUUCCAGCACAGCCUGCUCCCGACAAGGAUGCCCGCAGCCGCGUGUGAAGCUGCCUCCCUGGGGCUCCAGUGUGAGUCACCCGCACACCUGCACCCCGCCGGUGAUGGCCCGGUCUCCCCCUCCACCGGGAGCCCCCAGGCCCGGCGGCUCCUCCAAGGCCCUCGCCUCAUCUCUAACACCGCUGAGACGGUCUCUAACCCGGAGGCCAGCCGUGGGAAAUUUAGACAACACUGGAAUCUGCCAAGAAUAAAAGUUAACCAUCCACGACCCACCACCCCGAAUCUGCGGGCGAAUUUCCUCCCAUACCUCGGUUCUUGGCAUAACAGAUACAUAACAGCCACUUCUGGGAUUCCCAUUAGCAACAACCUUCAUCUACACAAAACUAGACAAAUAAGCAUGUACACCUUACGGUAUCAGCAGUACCCAGGAGAUGUUGUCGCGUCCUGGCCAAGAGAAGACUAUGCACACCACCAGUCAUUUCUAUGGAAGAUGGGACUAGAGAAAGAGCUGAAGCAGGAGACUCGAGAAGUGAGUCGUGGACUGGACUGGGUUUCCAAAAGGGGAAUUAAAGACUAGAAAGCCAGUUAGAUCAGAAACUCAACACAAAGAAAGCAGAGCUCAGAACUGAGAGGAACCAACCCACAGCUGUUGGAAAUGGUGAGAGGGACAAAACACUCAAAAGAGUUCACAGGUAUCAUGCCUGUGCUUCUCAUUGUCCCUGAAGCCAUUGGGAGCCUCUCUCAGUCCCAUGCUGCCACCAAAUCUGUUUUAAAAAAUGAAUUCAACUGAAUAUUAAAGAUCUUAUUGGCUUUUUAAAAUGAUUCAUGAGUUGGGUAGCAUCCCGUCUAGGACCCAGAAAGGAGCCCUGAAGAGCUGAACAAAAUGAGAGACCUCUAUAGGCAGAAGGAGGCAGGAACAAGGAAAGAGUAGAUUACCUCUUCUUUCUUUGGGGACAGAAAGGGCCUAACAGGCAGAUGACCUCAUGAGUGCUGGGCAGAAAAUUCCAGAUUGACUGGGUUAAGAUUUAUUCCUGGGGUAGGGCUGAAACUACAUGUAGGUUGAAUAUCAAGUCUUGGUUUACUGAUGUGGGCCUUAGCAUAAGUGACUCUAUUUUGGGCCUAUUGUCUGCCAAUCUGCCUAUUUUUUUUCCCUGUUAUUUUUAGAGAUGGUGAGUAGGGGCAGAGGCAGAAGAACAGAGAGAAUCUUAAGCAGGUUCCAUGCUCAGGACAGAGCUCCACGUGGGGCUCGAUUUCCCAACACUGAUAUCAUGACCUGAGCCAAAAUCCAGAGUUGGACAUUUAACAGACCGAGCCACCUAAGCUCUCGGGGCCUGUUGUCUCUUUUUUAAAACAAAGGUUAGGGAAUAAAAGCAAGACACAGAAUUUCGGAUAGAGAAUG
rnacentral:lncRNA from 12 species